UACGGAGGAUGCGAGCGUUAUCCGGAUUUAUUGGGUUUAAAGGGUGCGUAGGCGGGCAUUUAAGCCGGCGGUCAAAUGUCGGGGCUCAACCCCGGCCCGCCGUUGAAACUGGCAGUCUCGAGUUGGAGAGAAGUAUGCGGAAUGCGCAGUGUAGCGGUGAAAUGCUUAGAUAUUGCGCAGAACUCCGAUUGCGAAGGCAGCAUACCGGCGGCGAUCUGACGCUGAGGCACGAAAGCGUGGGUAUCGAACAGG
rnacentral:rRNA from 1 species